CUGAGCUCCUCAAAAUCCAGAUUUGGGAGCAGCAGCUCUUUGCUGGUUGGGGGGAGGGUGGCAGAGGAGCUGCCUGCUCCACUUAAAGGUUGUUUGUUCUCCUUUCCAGGACUCACCAGACAGUGAUGAUGAAAAAAUGCCGGAUCUGGAGUAAGGCAAACUGUCGUCUUCAGGGUUUUGGGGGAAAGAAGUUCAUCACAACAUUUCAUAAUUGAGAUAAGAAUUCCUGAGUUGAUAGCCCUAAAGGGAGAUCCUGCAUCCUUUAACCCAUUUUCAGUCCAUUUUAAAUGGCUUCACUGAUGGUAGGUGUGUCCCAUGGCACGGGGCAGUCUUAAAGCCACGAGAGGCAAUAACAGUUAUGCAUGAACCGUUUUCCAGACUUCCAAAAACAAACAAAAACCCACCAAACCAACCCAAUUGAGGUGUAGGCAAUCCAUUGAGAACAUUUGCAAUAAAGUUUACAGAGCCUCCUUGCCUCGUAGCAGAUGUAAUUACAAUGGGAGAACCCUGAAUUAACACCGAGUGGUUUAAACGAGAAAUUAUUUUUUUUUCCCUCCCCUCUCUCUCUUCUCCACGGCCUGAAAUUAAUUUGUACCGGGAACAAAAAACUCUUAUUGGCUCCCCAAAAAAAAUCCAGCAGGCGAGGCGCAUCCCUCCGUGAUGUCUUCAGCUCUGUUCCCACUUUAAAAAAAAAAACCAACUUCAAAAUCUUCAAAAUUCUCCUCGUUUUUGGUGUUCGGUGCCGGUGGCCUGCCCCUGGUCCCGUGUGACCCCAAACCUUUCCACCUCCUCGCCCGGGCUGCGAGUGGCUGUACAUUGUUGCUUGUCAAUCUGUACAUUUUAGACCAAAAUCGUAUUUGCACUGUGGGUUUGGCAGCAAGUGACAGACCGUGGGGCGCGCGGGCGCCUGCGAACCGGGCUGAAAAACCUCAAUUUAUGUUCAGAGCAGCUGGGAUUUUUUUAAUGUCUGCAUUCUUUCUAAUAAACUGUUGAAGACUC